rnacentral:miRNA from 1 species
AUUAUCAUUGAUGACGGUCUUCUGAAACAUAAAUGAAGAUGGUGAAUUUCUGAUAAUUU